GAUGAACGCUGGCGGCGUGCCUAAUACAUGCAAGUCGAGCGAACAGACGAGGAGCUUGCUCCUCUGACGUUAGCGGCGGACGGGUGAGUAACACGUGGAUAACCUACCUAUAAGACUGGGAUAACUUCGGGAAACCGGAGCUAAUACCGGAUAAUAUAUUGAACCGCAUGGUUCAAUAGUGAAAGACGGUUUUGCUGUCACAUAUAGAUGGAUCCGCGCCGCAUUAGCUAGUUGGUAAGGUAACGGCUUACCAAGGCAACGAUGCGUAGCCGACCUGAGAGGGUGAUCGGCCACACUGGAACUGAGACACGGUCCAGACUCCUACGGGAGGCAGCAGUAGGGAAUCUUCCACAAUGGGCGAAAGCCUGACGGAGCAACGCCGCGUGAGUGAUGAAGGUCUUCGGAUCGUAAAACUCUGUUAUUAGGGAAGAACAGCUGUGUAAGUAACUAUGCACGUCUUGACGGUACCUAAUCAGAAAGCCACGGCUAACUACGUG
rnacentral:rRNA from 1 species